rnacentral:miRNA from 1 species
GCUCUGUCUUGGAUGGUCAUUC